rnacentral:rRNA from 1 species
GUGGAGUGCGGCGUGCUAUACAUGCAAGUCGUGCGGACCUUUUAAAAGCUUGCUUUUAAAAGGUUAGCGGCGGACGGGUGAGUAACACGUGGGCAACCUGCCUGUAAGAUCGGGAUAACGCCGGGAAACCGGGGCUAAUACCGGAUAGUUUUUUCCUCCGCAUGGAGGAAAAAGGAAAGACGGCUUUUGCUGUCACUUACAGAUGGGCCCGCGGCGCAUUAGCUAGUUGGUGGGGUAACGGCUCACCAAGGCAACGAUGCGUAGCCGACCUGAGAGGGUGAUCGGCCACAUUGGGACUGAGACACGGCCCAAACUCCUACGGGAGGCAGCAGUAGGGAAUCUUCCGCAAUGGACGAAAGUCUGACGGAGCAACGCCGCGUGAGUGAAGAAGGCCUUCGGGUCGUAAAACUCUGUUGCCGGGGAAGAACAAGUGCCGUUCGAACAGGGCGGCGCCUUGACGGUACCCGGCCAGAAAGCCACGGCUAACUACGUGCCAGCAGCCGCGGUAAUACGUAGGUGGCAAGCGUUGUCCGGAAUUAUUGGGCGUAAAGCGCGCGCAGGCGGCUUCUUAAGUCUGAUGUGAAAUCUUGCGGCUCAACCGCAAGCGGUCAUUGGAAACUGGGAGGCUUGAGUGCAGAAGAGGAGAGUGGAAUUCCACGUGUAGCGGUGAAAUGCGUAGAGAUGUGGAGGAACACCAGUGGCGAAGGCGGCUCUCUGGUCUGUAACUGACGCUGAGGCGCGAAAGCGUGGGGAGCAAACAGGAUUAGAUACCCUGGUAGUCCACGCCGUAAACGAUGAGUGCUAAGUGUUAGAGGGUUUCCGCCCUUUAGUGCUGCAGCUAACGCAUUAAGCACUCCGCCUGGGGAGUACGGCCGCAAGGCUGAAACUCAAAGGAAUUGACGGGGGCCCGCACAAGCGGUGGAGCAUGUGGGUUUAUUCGAAGCAACGCGAAGAACCUUACCAGGUCUUGACAUCCUCUGACCUCCCUGGAGACAGGGCUUCCCCUUCGGGGGACAGAGUGACAGGUGGUGCAUGGUUGUCGUCAGCUCGUGUCGUGAGAUGUUGGGG